CCUACGGGAGGCAGCAGUGGGGGAUAUUGGUCAAUGGCCGGAAGGCUGAACCAGCCAAGCCGCGUGAAGGACGAAGGUGCCAAGCAUUGUAAACUUCUUUUGUCAAGGGACAAAAUCAGGCUCGAGAGCCUGACCGAGGGUACUUGAAGAAAAAGCAUCGGCUAACUCCGUGCCAGCAGCCGCGGUAAUACGGAGGAUGCGAGCGUUAUCCGGAUUUAUUGGGUUUAAAGGGUGCGUAGGCGGACUGUUAAGUCAGCGGUAAAAGCCCGGGGCUCAACCCCGGCGAGCCGUUGAAACUGGCUGUCUUGAGAUGUCGAGAGGUAUGCGGAAUGCGCAGUGUAGCGGUGAAAUGCUUAGAUAUCACGCAGAACCCCGAUUGCGAAGGCAGCAUGCCGGCUUCCGACUGACGCUGAAGCACGAAAGCGUGGGAUCGAACAGGAUUAGAUACCCUUGUAGUC
rnacentral:rRNA from 1 species